AGGCGCGUAGCUCAGUUGGUUAGAGCACCACCUUGACAUGGUGGGGGUCAGUGGUUCGAAUCCGCUCGCGCCUACCA
rnacentral:tRNA from 2 species